rnacentral:lncRNA from 12 species
GCCUCCACUAGUUCUAAUAGGGUCAAUACCUGUUUGGCACGUUUCUUCAGAUGAACAUUUUGAAAAUAAAAUGAGGUAACAUGUAGAUUUGAGACCGGGAUGGGAUUAAGAUGUACUCUUACAAAUUUUUAGCUCUUUACAAUUUCACUGGAGAAUGAAUCAAACAGUUUAAAUUCUUAUUUUUUUUAAACGGGAACAUAAAAGAUUUCUGAAAAAAAUAGCCCAGUUCAAACAGAAGCCUACACUUCUCAGAAUUAAACACAAGAGGGCACCAUAAGCCCAUGGCAAGGAGUCUGAAGGCCUAGGAAUUUCCAUUGAUUUUAACGCUUAGAUUUCUGUGCCACUCUGUUUCACUGAUGUUCUCCGUAUAAGGGUUAACAUGGAACUGCUUAUCACGGGAUUGCCAGCUUGACUCCUGGUCCAGUUCUGGUCUCAUGCAUUAAUUCUGAAGAGACCAAGACACAGAAGCAAAUGGUCCCAGCAACCCUGCAUGAGGAUAGGAGCAAAAUCAAAUUAGGUUCAGGGUAGAGUUGAUUUUAGGGAACCCAUUGCUGUCAGAGUUGGAAUAAGUAAUUUGAACACUUUAGUUACAGCCAGCAGAAAUGGAAUCAAUACAUGCCAGGAUUAACCUCAGUGAUUAAUCCCAGAAUCAAUGAACCAAAUGAUUAUCAUUUCUGUCAGCUGAAGAUUCUGGGAUGCAAAAUUGUGAUUAAAGAGGCACUACCCAGACAAGGAGUCCAUGUCAUGAAAUGAGCUAUACCUCUGGAGUCAGAUCUGCUUUGGUGUGAGGCCCUACUGAUUUCUCAGCUUUUUAACCUUGGAGAAAUGACUUAGCCUGCCCUUUGU